GGGGCUAUAGCUCAGUUGGGAGAGCGCUACAAUGGCAUUGUAGAGGUCGGCGGUUCGACCCCGCCUAGCUCCACCA
rnacentral:tRNA from 2 species